rnacentral:rRNA from 1 species
UACGAGGGGUGCUAGCGUUAUUCGGAUUUAUUGGGCGUAAAGGGUACGUAGACGGCGUGCUAAGUUAGUUGUUAAAUUUCUCGGCCUAACCGAGAGCAAGCAAUUAAUACUGGUAUGCUAGAGGGUGAGAGAGAGGAGUGGAAUUCUCGGAGUAGCGGUAAAAUGCGUAGAUAUCGAGAGGAACACCGAUGGCGAAGGCAGCUCCUUGGCUCAUUCCUGACGUUGAGGUACGAAAGCGUGGGUAGCAAACAGG